rnacentral:rRNA from 1 species
GACGAACCGUGCAAACGUUGUUCGGAAUCACUGGGCUUAAAGGGCGCGUAGGCGGGUGGCCAAGUCAGGGGUGAAAUCUUUCGGCUCAACCGGAAAAUUGCCUUUGAUACUGGUCGUCUCGAGGGAGGUAGGGGCAUGUGGAACUUCCGGUGGAGCGGUGAAAUGCGUUGAUAUCGGAAGGAACGCCGGUGGCGAAAGCGACGUGCUGGACCUUUUCUGACGCUGAGGCGCGAAAGCUAGGGGAGCGAACGGG